GGAGACAAAGCCUCAAAGCAAAAGCUACGGAACAGUGUCGGCACACACCAAGCUAUAAGUGGCACCGGUGAGUGGCUAAAAAGCACAUCAAGAGCCAUUAUUCGACAUUCAUACAUUUUACAUGCUUUCAUACAGUAAUGUUACUUAAAAAAGAUACUGAGAAACCCUGUUUGUUUCACCCGAUAGGUAAUUGGCAUGAAGACAUUAUACUUAAUGAUAAUGUUUGCAGGAAGUGAUCUAUGGAGAUAUAUGUAGGUAGGGUCAGGAACCUGUGGCUCAGGGAUGAAUUGGAGCUGAGAAUUUUUAAAACAAAAAAAGCAGCUAAAAUAAUAAUGUUGUGCGAAUUAAACGUUAAACGGAUAUGGCAGCAAUUAUUUACAAAUUGUAAUAAAGAAAUUGACCGUCUUAAUCUCAGUCGGCUUCAAAGCUUAAUUUUCAUUGGAUAAUGCGGCGCGAGACGGGCCGUUGUGAGGUGAACUAACGAAAUCACAUAUCUCCUUCCUGCUAGCUCAUGAAAAACACGUCCAAAAGAAAAAUAAACCAUCAAGACUACCGUUCGUUCCAGUGUGAGUGGACAGAAGAGUUUGCCUUUGGGGAGAGAGCUAGUUCGGCGGAUCAUAAAAGGAGGGGGGAUGGAAGGAGGAUCAGUAGAAGGAGGAGCUGGACAGCGAGUACUGGAAGUAACUGAACGCUGCUGCCCAAGACCAGGUGAGCCUAUUGCUGGAAGCACAGGACACAAGGCAGAGGACACCCUGGUCAGGACAUCACUCCACCACAGGACACAAGGCAGAGGACACCCUGGUCAGGACAUC